rnacentral:rRNA from 1 species
GACGGAGGAUGCAAGUGUUAUCUGGAAUCACUGGGCGUAAAGCGUCUGUAGGUGGUUCGAAAAGUCCACUGUUAAAAAUUGGAGCUUAACUUCAAAGAUGCCGUGGAAACUUUCAAACUAGAGUAUGGUAGGGGUAGAGGGAAUUUCCAGUGGAGCGGUGAAAUGCGUAGAUAUUGGAAAGACCACCGAUGGCGAAGGCACUCUACUGGGCCAUUACUGACACUGAGAGACGAAAGCUAGGGGAGCAAAUGGG